rnacentral:rRNA from 1 species
CCUACGGGAGGCAGCAGUGGGGAAUAUUGCACAAUGGGGGAAACCCUGAUGCAGCGACGCCGCGUGAGUGAAGAAGUAAUUCGUUAUGUAAAGCUCUAUCAGCAGGGACGAAAAUGACGGUACCUGAGUAAGAAGCCCCGGCUAACUACGUGCCAGCAGCCGCGGUCAUACGUAGGGGGCAAGCGUUAUCCGGAUUUACUGGGUGUAAAGGGAGCGUAGACGGCAGUGCAAGUCUGGAGUGAAAGGCGGGGGCUCAACCCGCGGACUGCACUGGAAACUGUACGGAUGGAGUGCAGGAGAGGUAAGUGGAAUUCCUGGUGUAGCGGUGAAAUGCGUAGAUAUUAGGAGGAACACCAGUGGCGAAGGCGGCUUACUGGACUGUAACUGACGUUGAGGCUCGAAAGCGUGGGGAGCAAACAGGAUUAGAUACCCUUGUAGUC